rnacentral:lncRNA from 1 species
UCCUAUCUCACCAACCAGAUACAUUACUUGUUAUCUUGUGGGGAGGAGCCAAAAGAAAAAUACUUCUGGCAGAGGAGAAGAGCUUAUAUUACGGGUCAACAGAAAUUCAGGGAGAGGAAGAAAUGGCUCACUGUCAUUGUCUCCAUGGUCUAUGAGGCCAGACUGGGAAAGAACCGCUCUCUAUUUUCCCAUCUCUUCAUCCAGUUGCUGAAGACUGAACUUGCUCUUGCUCCUUUCAGUGUUUCCCGAGAUCACCUUCCAAAUAAACUAUCUGCUUGAGGGACGAAGUGGACUUUACUGGCUCGUGUAACUAAAAGGCACAUGGCAUUGAUGGUUUCAGGCUCUGCUGGUCUUUCUGUGUCCCACGUGGGGAUGAUGGGAGGAGGAAUAGCUAAAGGCAUCAAUUCUGGCCGCAUCGCCUGGUUCAAAUCUCAUAUCUGCCACUUACUACCUGCGUGGCCUUGGCCCCAGGAAGAACUGAGGAAAAAAAGCAAAAUUUCUCAUCUAUACCUUCAGAAGCAACAUGGCGUGGCAGAAAGGACAUCAGUAUUGGAAUCACACAGAAUGAGCUGUCAUCAAUAAAAAACAACAUGUUGGACAAGAUUCCUUCAGACUUUCACAAAAGAGCUGGCCCCAGCCUGAUGUGGGCUCCUAAUCCAUCCUUCUUGGGGAUGGA